rnacentral:rRNA from 1 species
GAUGAACGCUGACAGAAUGCUUAACACAUGCAAGUCUUUGGCGAAGCUGUGCUUUCACCGCCUAGCCAAGGCGGAUGGGUGGGUAAAGCGUAAGGAACUUGCCCUGCAGUCAGGGAUAACAGCCGGAAACGACUGAUAAGACCUGGUAAAGUCAGGCGGACUCAUGUCCAGCCUGAUGAAAAGAGCUGCUGCAGGAGAGCCUUGCGUCCUAUUAGCUUGUUGGUGGGGUAACGGCUCACCAAGGCGAUGAUAGGUAGCCGGCCUGAGAGGGUGGACGGCCACAAGGGGACGGAGAGACGGCCCGGACUCCAACGGGAGGCAGCAGUGGGGAAGAUUGGACAAUGGGGGCAAUCCUGAGCCAGCAAUUCUGUGGGCACGAUGAAGGUGUUCGGAUUGUAAAGUGCUAGCAGCAGGGAAGAAAAAAUGACGGUACCUGCAGAAGAAGCGACGGCUAAAUACGUG